GAGAGUAUAGUUCAGUGGUAGAGUACAUGCUUAGCAUGCAUAAGGUCCUGGGUUCUAUCCCCAGUACCUCCA
rnacentral:tRNA from 1 species